GGCCGAGCCGGGGCGCCGGCGGGAGCGGAGCCUCUGCCCCAAGGAGCGGCCCCGCUCCCCGAGCCCGCAGCUCCGCCCGUCCCCUCCAGCCCGGAGCCGUUUCCCGGUCGGCUGGACCCGAGAUGCUCGAGUAAUGUUUUCGAAGGAGGUGUAUUAAUUAGGAGAUCGGGGGCUGAUGCGGCGUGACUGUCUGAGCUGGCCCUGGUGAACCUUUCCGCCCCCCUCCUCCCGGCCGCCCCCCGGUGAAGUGGGACCCCGGGGGCGGCACUGUGUCCCCAGCUCAAGGCGCUGUAACCUCCCGCGCUCCCCACGAAACCCGAUAGCCCCCCAACCGGCUAAUGCGGCCUGUCCUGAUUACUUUUAUAUUAUACCUCCUCAAUCUCGGGCGCGGGGUUGAGAGUUUUCACUCACUUCUACGAUCAGCACCUUCCCGACCGUCACCCCCAGCAUCGAUAUUUAUUUGGGGCGUCCCUUCUCCGCGGCCCACAGCCAGGCUCAGAUCCCGCGGAGGGGACAGCCGGCAGGGGGGCGGCCCGGCGGGUUGGGGGGCGAGGGGGGCCCGGGCCGGUACCCAGCCGGCCCCCGCGCCGCUGCCGGCUGCGGGGACCGCCUCAGAUGCUCCGCGGCACAAGGGGACUCUUUCAGCAGACAGCGUACAGUUUACAGACAAGACAACAACAACAACAAAAGGCACAUAUGGUUAAAAUAAGGGAAGAGCGAGCUUUCUGCCUUAGGGGAUUGGCAACAACUAGCCAGAAAUGCAGGGCAUUGAAUCUAAACUUCUGGUGGGCUUCUGCGGGAUUGACAAUUUAAAUCACACUACAAGCAUCAAUUUGACAAUAUUUGUAAACUUCUUGUUUCCAAGGAUCUUCUUGAUCAGAGAUAGACCAGGUUGGUAUGAGCUUGAGCCACGGAGGUCUUUUUUUUUCUUCCUCCUUUCCCCUCUUCCGAGUUGAUGAAUAGCGAUCAGGUUUCUUUUAAUGGCUGCUCCCUAUUCUCACAGCCUCCCACAACUAACCCAAGAGCCUGUUUCCUCGACCUCAGUUAAUUCCGCUGAUUAUUCCAAGAUGAUGAGGAAAGCACGAAGAUUGUCCACUCUUCCUACCCAUUCAAGGCAUUUUUGUUACCGUCUCCAUCCCUGGCUCACGGGGAUUUGACGGGGGUAGUAUUUUUAGGAACAGGCUGCCUUCCCUUCCCCCCUGCCCUCCCUCCCCAGGCAGCUGACAGCUUCGGGGUCUCAGCCAUGGUCUUGCCGCUCCGUGGGUACUCCAUCCCCGCCUCGGGGGCGGUGGGGGGGUAAGCACAGGCACCCUUCGCGCAGCGGCCCGGGGUGUCUCAGGGCGGGGGCACCCCUGGCAUUUCGGCGGCCGCCCAGGUGCCGGUGGCGCAGUGGAAGCAGGUUGGCAGCAGCAUUUGGCGUGCAUUGAAGAAGUCUGGGAACUGGGCCUUACAGUCAUCAUAAAGAAGUGAUUUUCAGCUUCCAAGAAGAGAAGAAAGUAAAGAGGUAUAACUGGAUAAAAUUCAUCUCCAGAGAAAAGGCAUCCGGUAUCUGUUAAAAUGGCAUCCCGAUUUGUUGGCAGCAGGCCUAGGAACUGAUCCUGCACCUACUGAAGAGCAUGUCCCAGACCCCCAGGCUGACAGAGGCGUAAUGUCUGGCCCAAAGCGACCACAGACCUUUCUCACUACUAAAGACACCGGACAUGCCGGCUGGGACGUGAGAGCAAGCUUUUGCUGGCAUCAGGCACAGAGUAGCUGUCUGUCUAUCUGUGUUUAUAUUUGCACAUGAUUCAUAUCCAAAAGCUUUAACCAAUGCUUAGAAUGAUCUCUGAAAUCUGUCUGCAUUACAAAAUAAAUAAAUAACCCAUUCCAA